UUUUUUUUUUUUUUUUGAGACUGAAUCUUGCUCUGUCGCCCAGGCUGGAGUGCAGUGGUAUGAUCUCAGCUAACUGCAACCUCCACCUCCCAGGUGAUUCUCAUGCCUCAGCCUCCCGAGUAGCUGGGAUUACAGGUGUGCCCCACCACACCCACCUAAUUUUUUGUGUUUUUAGUAGAGACAGGGUUUCAUCAUGUUGGCCAGGCUGGUCUUGAACUCCUGACCUCAGGUGAUCUGCCCGCCUCUGCCUCCCAAAGUGCUGGGAUUACAGGCGUCAGCCACCGCACCUGGCCCAUGCUUUUCUGCUCUACCAAGAAAUGUAAGAAAUGCAGCAACCCUCCCCAUCCUUCCUUCUAGGCCAUGACAUUCUGACAAAUCUAUCAUACAAGAUUUCAACGAAGUGCUAGUUUCUAAAAACACACUGCGAGAGAUUAAGGGUGCAAUUUUCCAGCCUUUAUUUAAAGAGUCCUUUUUAAAAAAUAAUAAUAAUAAUAUAAUGUAAGCUUCUAUUGCUAGCCCAUCAGUGGCACAUGGGACUCUGUAAGUAUGACUGCUUUCCCUUUUUAAUUUACCCAAUGUGCCUGCUUAAUUUGACAGGAGAGAUGGGUAACAAUGUUAAAGUAAAUUAAAACCAGGUUUUGGGUGGCUGGCAAGAUGGCCAAUAGGAACAGUUUGGGUCUGCAGCUCCCAGCGAGAUCAGUGGAGAAGGUGGGUGAUUUCUGCAAUUCCAACUGAGGUGUUCAUCUCAUUGGGACUGGCGAGACAGUGGGUGUAGCCCAUGGAGGGUGAGCAGAGGCAGGGUGGGGCGUCACCUCACCCGGAAAGUACAAGGGGUCAGGGACCUCCCUCCCCUACCCAAGGGAAGCCUUGAGAGACUGUGCCAUAAGGAAUGGUGCACUCCAGCCCAGAUACCAUGCUUUUCCCAUGGUCUUUGCAACCUGCAGACCAGGAGGUUCCCUCGGGUGCCUAUGCCACCAGGGCCCUGGGUUUCAAGCACAAAACUGGGCAGCCAUUUGGGCAGACACUGAGCUAGCUGCAGGAGUAUUUUUUUUCAUACCCCAGUGGCACCCAGAAUGCCAGCAGGACAGAACUGUUCACUCCCCUGGAAAGGGGGCUGAAGUCAGGGAGCCAAGUGGCCCGGCUCAGCGGAUCCCACCCCCAUGGAGCCCAGCAAGCUCAGAUCCACUGGCUUGAAAUUCUCGCUGCCAGCACAGCAGUCUGAACUCGACCUGGGAUGCUUGAGCUUUGUAAGGGAAGGAGCAUCCACCAUUACUGAGGCUUGAGUAGGUGAUUUUCCCCUCACAGUGUAAACAAAGCUGCCAGGAAGUUCAAACCACAGCUAGGCAAAGCCGCUGUAGCCAGACUGCCUCUAUAAAUUCCUACUCUCUGGACAGGGCAUCUCUGAAAGAAAGGCAGCAGCCCCAGUCAGGGGCUUAUAGAUAAAACUCCCAUCUCCCUGGGACAGAGCACCUGGGGGAAGGGGUGGCUGUGGGUGCAGCUUCAGCAGACUUAAACAGUCCUGCCUGCCAGUUCUGAAGACAGCAGUGGAUCUCCCAACACAGUGCUCGCUAAGGAUCAGACUGCCUCCUGAAGUGGGUCCCUGACCCCUGUGCCUCCUGACUGGGAGACACC
ensembl:lncRNA